rnacentral:tRNA from 1 species
CCUGAUGCAGCAAUGGUUAUAGUGCUCGGCUGCUAACUGAGAGGUUGGUGGUUCAAACCCACCCAGUAGCU